ACAGUCUACGAAACCCCACAGCUCCUAAGAAUUCUCUCACCUGCCUUCUGCCCUUAAGCUCCGGUAGAUUGCAAAUAACCUGCUUUCUUUCUGUUCCCGAGCUGCGUUCGGACCCAUGUCUUAUUGUAAAUCCCACGCAAGCUGCGUUCGGACCCGUCUGAUCGUAAAUCCCAUGUAAGGUACCUGCCGUCGGAAGAUUUGAACGUUCUACUUGGACACCUAAAACCCACAGUCCUCCAGGUACCUGCCGUCGGAAGAUUUGAGCUUUCUUCUUGAACACCUCAUACCCACAGUCCUCCAGGCGCCAGUGGGAUCAAGAGAGGGCAACAUUGCAACUCUCCAUGCUCCUGCAAUAUCCAUGGCUAUUCUGUAGACAGAAAGACAACAGGUACAAAGCCCUAAGGAUUAUAAAGGUAUGCUGCUUACCAUCAUCUUAGUGACCAAGGCAGCGAAGCUGUUUCUGUACCUUGGAACAGUCUUCCCUGACAAGCCAGAGAACAGUGAUAAAGCCACCAGCCUUGGGAUCAGGACUGAAAAGGCAAGAGUGAUGGAGAUUUCUCCUGCGCUAAGCCAAGAGAAGGUUUCAGCACUUCAGACAGCUCCCACCGAAGUAGCCGCGCUCCCAGCUGCUUGCAGAUGUUGAAAAGGAAAGCCUCGGUUUGUCUUGAGGUUGUCAGCAGGUGCAAGACACGUAAUAAAAUGCAAUGUGUUCCUAA
rnacentral:lncRNA from 1 species